GGGUAGGUAUUUAAGAACCAUGAUGACCUAUAACCUUUGACCCAAGGUGAUCUUUACUGGGGGGACCCGUGAAAGAUUGAUUUGAGCAGAGCUGAGUUAGACAAACAAGCCAUUCACAUAACUUCAAAUCUGGAGGCAAAUCAGGUAAAAAUGUGAGCAACCUUUGUGGCCUGGAAUUUCCUGAGACUAAACAGGACCCAACAGAGCAGCCAAUGUCCCUGGCCUUUCAGAAUUCUGCUCAUUCGCAUUAUGACAUUUUGAUGUUGGGUCUUAAU
rnacentral:lncRNA from 1 species